AGGAGCCGUGUGAGGUGAAAGUCUCACGCACGGUUUUGAAGACCAGCAGACACUAUAAAGAGUGAUCGGAAAUGGGUUUGCUGAGUUUAAC
rnacentral:ncRNA from 1 species